GCCCUCCCUGCCUCCACCGCGCCGCCGCCCCUCCACCGCCUGCGCCGCUUCCCUCCCCCCCUCGUGUGGACGCAUGACACCGAUGCCCGCCCGUUCUUCCCGUCGCCACUCGCACGGCCGACGCUGCCACGCUUUCAGCCGGGCAGUCGUUGUCUGGCGAUGCCCCGUGAACCCGUCGGCCCUCGCUGCCUCAUCCCGUCUGCGGCCUGCCCCGGAUCCCGGCGGCCCUUGGCGGCCUCGCCCACCGACCGCCACACGGCCCCCCUGCCCGGCGUCCCGGCCUAUCAUGGCGCAGACGCACAGUGGCGCCAUCCCCGCGCUAGCGCGGUCCUGAUCCCUGCCGCCCGGUGCCCGCGGCUCCGCCCCACCUGCCAUGGCCGCCUGCCGCCCUGCCCGUCACUGGCUGCCAACCUCCGCUCGGCACCCUGGCCUGCCUACUUGUCUGUAUAUAUACUGUGAGUAAGACCGUUAAAUAUUGCAAUUUCAAUUCCUAAUUCCCUAUUCUACUUGCUUGAUUAUUUGUUUGCAGUACUAGCUAGCCCGUGGAAAUUUUCGUAAUUCCCUAUCUGAGCCUGGUGGGGAGAGUAUUUGGUUCAACACAUGGGUCCAAUCAGUUUCCCUUUGCUAGAUUCAUCUUAUCAGGAUGCUAAUUAUGUUAGUUUUUCUUGUUUGAAAAAUGAUUACUGGUAGAAGUAACAGCGGUGGAAUAAAGUAAUUAGACUAUUAAUUGGGCAUAUUUCGCUGUGUCUGGUGACGCUUUCGACAAAUGUCCAUACGACCCUAUUAACGAUUUAUUGUUGGGUGCGAACGUGCAAUCAUUCCUUGCUUGGCGGUUUAACAGUAGGAAUUUGAUUAACCAAGCGCAUAUAGGAGGAUUGGACACCAUUGUCAUCCUGGUUGGAUGGCCGAUUUGGAAGAAAAGGAACAGCAAGGUCUUCAAUGGCCUCCACAAAACCUGGAAGGAGGUGGCCGGCACUGCAGUGGAGGAAGCUCGCUUUAGCAUGAGACAAGCCAAUCUAAGGAAGAACGGCUUGGUCAUAGUCACACAAUCAUUAGCGAGAUAUUGCCUUGGUAUUCUAUUGUUUUUUUUCAGUUCCUUUCUUUUGUCCUUCAUGUACAUACUUUCUGCAAGUGUGCUGGUACAAAACCCUCAAUCUUAAUACAAAGACAAAUUUUGGUGUGUUUUCGAAAACAAAACGAUCUCACGCUGGGUGAAGAAGUGAAUCACUGCAACUUUGUAAACUGGUUAGUGGAUGGUUGUUGGUGUUCAAAGUAAUUUAAGCAGUGAUAUUUUGCAGAAUUUUCUUUUCCCCUUUUUCUUUGCGGUCUGCUUUGGCAAGUCAGCCAUUGCAACCCAAUUAAUAAUAUGUUUCUAACUUUGUGUUCGAGGAAUAAUUUUUUCCUUACUGAUAUUACUUGGUUGUGUCUUUACUUGGUGAAACAUUUGAUGAAGUGAACUUCCCUUGCUGGAUUAUGUCUUUGUUCAGCUUAUCUGCACUAUCCAAUAUCGAGUUGUUAAGGAACAUGCUGAUGAUGCAUUCUAUGAGCUGCAGAAUCCCUAGCAGCAAAUUCAGGCCUACGUCUUUGAUGUGGUCCGAUCCAUAGUUCCAAGAAUGAAUCUUGAUGAUAUUUUUGAGCAAAAGAAUGAUGUGGCGAAAGCUGUACUUGAGGAGCUUGAAAAGAUUUGGUUCAUAUAUUGAUUGAUUGCACCAUGCGCCUUUACCAUAAUUUCCCUUUUUAUUGUUGUAGUACUCUGCUUGUUUCAAAAUUAAAAAGUUUCAUUGGAUAUCUUCUUGCCACUUUUUAUUAAGUUUGAUUAUAGAUAUUUUGUUCUUGUUAAUUUUGUUUCUGUAUGAAAGUUAGAUGCACUUCUUUUUUGUCAAGAUAUGCUAGGCAGUAUUUGCAUGACACACUUUUGCUUCCUUUACGGGCAAUUCUGCCUGCUUAAGUGUCCGUAAGUAGAUCUAUUGACAUGUUUUUGUAGCAGGAGAUUGUAUAUUGUUUCCAUUGCUUCCAAGCAUAUUUUUUUCUUUAGCAAAGGGUUCAUAUCGAAAAUAUCUGUGCUGAUAUCAUGUAAAUUUGUUUGGUAUAAUUUGUAUAAUUGGUAAUAUUCUGUGCACUGCUUCUCCAUGAUUGCUUUGUCUUAUCACCAAGGUGACUGGAGAACCAUUAAUUCAAGGGAAAGAUGACACAGCUGCAUUAUUGAAGUCAAGGCUGGAAGCCUUCCACGUACAAGCUUCCGUUGCCUCUAUCUCUGCUGGCAAGUGGCAAUGAUGAACUUAUUGGAUCUAUGAUUGCUGAUGCUAUUGACAAAGUUGGUCCUGACGGUGUCCUUUCAAUUGAGUCUUCAUCUUUCGAGACUACUGUUGAUGUUGAAGAAGGAAUGAAGGUGUUUUGAAAAUUCAACCUACAGUUUUGUUUCCCUAUUCUUGAUGUGCAACUUGAGAUUCACAUAUAGUAUUCCAAUAAAUAAAUAGUAUGACGACAACUUCCUCAAGCAUUUAUAAAUUUUGGUGUUCGAAGAUGUUUUAGAUGCUGGAGUCGCCGACAGUGCUGAUGCUCCUGGAAAGGACACGGUCAGUCAAAUUACUAACACGUUUCAUUUUUGAAUGUAUAAUUAGGUUUGCUGACCUUAGUGUAUUUUUUUGGCAUUCGCAAUGUAUUUUUAGAUAUUGUCAUGUACACGCCCUUUUUAUUUAUUAAGUCAGGGUUCACUAAACCGUUUCACCCAUUGAAGCUGAUCCCCUGUGGUAGCGUGAUUAUCACGUGAUAACCUUGAAAACUGCGAUGAAUUUGUCUUCCAAAUUUGAAUUCAAAACCGGAGAUGAUACUGGCAGCAAACACAAGGAUUCAAAGGAAGAAGCUAAAUCCAGUGAAUCAAAUCAAAAAGGUGCAAGCACUGCCAAAUCUGCUGAUAGAUCCAAGACAAACGGUCUUUCAACCAAUAUAGAAAGCAAAAGGAGAAAGAAGUCAAGUCAUCUGAAGAGGAAGAGGUGUCUGCUAAAAUUUAUACUGGAAAGAAGCGCAGAAGGCUCAUAACUGAUUGCUCUGGUCUGGUGCAGUUCUUCCAAUGGGUAUUUCUGAGAGACGCAGUCAAGGUUUUUGGUUUGAGCAAUGUAGCUUGUAGUAUAUGCUUAUGUUUUAAUCUUUUUUAUGUAGCUUGUAGUAUAUGUAACAUGAUAUUUUAAUGCUAUAACAUUAUAUUAUUUUUCUAU